GACGAACGCUGGCGGCGUGCUUAACACAUGCAAGUCGAGCGGUAAGGCUCCUUCGGGGGUACACGAGCGGCGAACGGGUGAGUAACACGUGAGUAAUCUGCCCCUCACUUUGGGAUAAGCCUCGGAAACGAGGUCUAAUACCGAAUACGACCACUUCGGGCAUCCGAUGGUGGUGGAAAGUUUUUCGGUGGGGGAUGUGCUCGCGGCCUAUCAGCUUGUUGGUGGGGUAAUGGCCUACCAAGGCUUCGACGGGUAGCCGGCCUGAGAGGGUGACCGGCCACACUGGGACUGAGACACGGCCCAGACUCCUACGGGAGGCAGCAGUGGGGAAUAUUGGACAAUGGGCGGAAGCCUGAUCCAGCAACGCCGCGUGAGGGAUGACGGCCUUCGGGUUGUAAACCUCUUUCAGUAGGAACGAAGCGCAAGUGACGGUACCUACAGAAGAAGCACCGGCCAACUACGUGCCAGCCGCCGCCGUAACAC
rnacentral:rRNA from 1 species